UCGAGAAUAUUCGACAAUGGGCGAAAGCCUGAUCGAGCGACGCCGCGUGCGGGAAGAAGUGCUUCGGCAUGUAAACCGCUUUUGUCAGGGAAAAAUUUUGAUUGUACCUGAAGAAUAAGGGGUUGCUAACUCUGUGCCAGCAGCAGCGGUAAUACAGAGACCCCGAGCGUUAUCCGGAAUAACUGGGCGUAAAGCGCGAGUAUCCGGUUGUGUUAGUCUGAUGUUAAAUCCCGAGGCUUAACUUCGGGACCGCAUUAGAAACGGCACGACUAGAGUGGGUAAGAGGCAAGCGGAACGUGCAGUGUAGGGGUGAAAUCCAUUGAUAUUGCACGGAACACCAAAAGCGAAAGCAGCUUGCUAGUGCUCAACUGACGGUCAAUCGCGAAAGCGUGGGGAUCAA
rnacentral:rRNA from 1 species